CCCCAUGGCCUAUAUAAAGGAUCUGCUUUCUGGCAGUCUCUGAGUCAGGCAAAGUCGAACUUAUCUUGCUGAAGUCACUUACUGGUCUCCUGCCUGCUCUGAGGACUUUGCUAGGACUUUGGGCAGAGCUGCAGAGGCAAGCCUGAUUCGGAUUUCCCUGACCCGGCCGUCAGCGGAGGAGUGGGACACGACAUCAGGUCUCAGGAGGCGAAAAAACAAAACCACGGCUUUCUUUGUCGGAGAAAACAGCAGGUAAGUCUACUGACCCAUGAUUUGGAGAAGUUCCAAAGAGACGUCUUUGACACAUGCCCUAGCUAAGGAAGAAAAAGCAUCCACUGUUCCUGUCGUUGGAGUGACAUUUUAGAAGCACGCUGGGCGAAACCUGCUGAUGACAUUUCCAGUGCAGAUUUCCCGGGACUGUAAAAAGCCGAAGGAAAAGUUUGGCCGAGUUGUCUUCUUUUACAAUUGCACAGGAGGAAAUGGGUGUGACCCUGGCCAUGUAUCUGGGAUUUUGGAAGUCCUUUUCAAGAGGCAAUCUUUCUUUCUCCAGCCAUCAGCUGCUCGCUAAAAAGAAACUCACAACUUUUACACACAAAUCUGUGCCAGAAUAAGCUACCUCCGGCAACAUCCUAGCCUUCCAUCCACCCCACCCUCCCGCUCUCCAGUCUCAACUGUCAGUACCGCUCCUUCCAACACCCCCACCAUCAGAACUGAUGAAGCUUCUUGGAUGAGAAGGGAAAUGUUUUCUUCUUCUUUCUCGAGGAAAAAACAGUUGCCUUUUGAAAAGCACCUUUGAGACAGCUAUAACCUGGAUGAUUUAGAAUCUCCACAGGGUUUAUAAAUCAGUUUGUAUGGUGCUACUAACAGAAGGCAUUUCUGACCUCACCCAAGACCACAGGUUUGUCGUGUUUCGGGAGCUGGGUCAGAACACAGACCCUGCCGUUCCCUCUGCUGCAAAGACCACCAGUCUUCUCAGUGAACUGGUCCGAACCUGCUGAAACCCACCUCUGAGUCUUCUUCGGUGGGAAUCCUUGGAAAUCCUUUGCUGGUUGUGCUUCAGAGAUUUUCCGUCUCCAUGGCGACCGUCUGUGUCUUCUCCAUCGGAGAAGAAGGAUGCCUUUGCACAGGAAGAAGUUUGCAAAUGUGGCUUCGGAAAGAGGAUGUGGCGGCUUUCUUCGUCCUUUCUGCGGGCGUCAGAUUCCGCAAUCGCAGCCAUUCAGCGGAGGAUCCGGGAAAACCCCUUUCGUCAUUUUCUGACGCAGGGAUCAAAACCAACCAGAGCAACCGAGUUUUUCCCUUCCGUAAACACCGAAGGACCAAAAUAUUUGCAGGUGGCCCUUGACUUAGGACCAGAACGGAGCCAAAUAUGUCCGUUGCUAGGCAAGACCAUUAAGUGAGUUUUGACCCAUUUCACAACCUUUCUUGUCACUGUGGUUAAGGGAAUCCUUGAAGUUGUUCA